rnacentral:tRNA from 3 species
GUCCUAUAGCUCAGUUGGUUAGAGCGCUACACUGAUAAUGUAGAGGUCGGCAGUUCAACUC